rnacentral:rRNA from 1 species
AAGAUGGCAUCAUGAGUCCGCAUGUUCACAUGAUUAAAGGUAUUCCGGUAGACGAUGGGGAUGCGUUCCAUUAGAUAGUAGGCGGGGUAACGGCCCACCUAGUCUUCGAUGGAUAGGGGUUCUGAGAGGAAGGUCCCCCACACUGGAACUGAGACACGGUCCAAACUCCUACGGGAGGCAGCAGUGAGGAAUAUUGGUCAAUGGGCGAGAGCCUGAACCAGCCAAGUAGCGUGAAGGAUGACUGCCCUAUGGGUUGUAAACUUCUUUUAUAAAGGAAUAAAGUCGGGUAUGGAUACCCGUUUGCAUGUACUUUAUGAAUAAGGAUCGGCUAACUCCGUGCCAGCAGCCGCGGUAAUACGGAGGAUCCGAGCGUUAUCCGGAUUUAUUGGGUUUAAAGGGAGCGUAGAUGGAUGUUUAAGUCAGUUGUGAAAGUUUGCGGCUCAACCGUAAAAUUGCAGUUGAUACUGGAUAUCUUGAGUGCAGUUGAGGCAGGCGGAAUUCGUGGUGUAGCGGUGAAAUGCUUAGAUAUCACGAAGAACUCCGAUUGCGAAGGCAGCCUGCUAAGCUGCAACUGACAUUGAGGCUCGAAAGUGUGGGUAUCAAACAGGAUUAGAUACCCUGGUA